CCUACGGGAGGCAGCAGUGAGGAAUAUUGGUCAAUGGCCGUAAGGCUGAACCAGCCAAGUCGCGUGAGGGAAGACGGUCCUACGGAUUGUAAACCUCUUUUGCCGGGGAGCAACGGGGUCCUUGCGAGGGCCCAAUGAGAGUACCCGGAGAAAAAGCAUCGGCUAACUCCGUGCCAGCAGCCGCGGUAAUACGGAGGAUGCGAGCGUUAUCCGGAUUUAUUGGGUUUAAAGGGUGCGUAGGCGGGCUGUUAAGUCAGCGGUCAAAUGUCGGGGCUCAACCCCGGCCUGCCGUUGAAACUGGCGGCCUCGAGUGGGCGAGAAGUAUGCGGAAUGCGUGGUGUAGCGGUGAAAUGCAUAGAUAUCACGCAGAACUCCGAUUGCGAAGGCAGCAUACCGGCGCCCGACUGACGCUGAGGCACGAAAGCGUGGGGAUCGAACAGGAUUAGAUACCCCAGUAGUC
rnacentral:rRNA from 1 species